rnacentral:rRNA from 1 species
GACGAACGCUGGCGGCGUGCCUAAUACAUGCAAGUAGAACGCUGAAGGAGGAGCUUGCUUCUCUGGAUGAGUUGCGAACGGGUGAGUAACGCGUAGGUAACCUGCCUGGUAGCGGGGGAUAACUAUUGGAAACGAUAGCUAAUACCGCAUAAGAGUAGAUGUUGCAUGACAUUUGCUUAAAAGGUGCAAUUGCAUCACUACCAGAUGGACCUGCGUUGUAUUAGCUAGUUGGGGGGGUAACGGCUCACCAAGGCGACGAUACAUAGCCGACCUGGGAGGGUGAUCGGGCAAACUGGGACUGAGACACGGCCCAGAACCCUACGGGAGGGAGCAGGAGGGAAUCUUUGGCAAUUGACGGAAGGCUGACCGAGCAACGCCGCGGGAGGGAAGAAGGGUUUCGGAUCGUAAAGCUCUGUUGUAAGAGAAGAACGAGUGUGAGAGUGGAAAGUUCACACUGUGACGUUAGCUUAACAGAAAGGGACGGCUAACUACGUG